GCUUACGGCCAUACCAGCCGAAGACCGCCCAAUCUCGUCCAAUCUCAGAAGCUAAGAAGGGUUGGGCCUGGUUAGUACUUGGAUGGAAGACUACCUGGGAAUACCAGGUGCUGUAAGCU
ensembl:rRNA 5S_rRNA 5S ribosomal RNA